GACGAACGCUGGCGGCGUGCUUAACACAUGCAAGUCGAACGCUGAAGCUCAGCUUGCUGGGUGGAUGAGUGGCGAACGGGUGAGUAACACGUGAGUAACCUGCCCUCUUCUUUGGGAUAACGCCCGGAAACGGGUGCUAAUACUGGAUAUUCACUGAUUCUCGCAUGGGGGUUGGUGGAAAGGUUUUUUCUGGUGGGGGAUGGGCUCGCGGCCUAUCAGCUUGUUGGUGGGGUGAUGGCCUACCAAGGCUUUGACGGGUAGCCGGCCUGAGAGGGUGACCGGUCACAUUGGGACUGGGAUACGGCCCAGACUCCUACGGGAGGCAGCAGUGGGGAAUAUUGCACAAUGGGCGAAAGCCUGAUGCAGCGACGCCGCGUGAGGGAUGGAGGCCUUCGGGUUGGAAACCUCUUUCGCUCAUGGUCAAGCCGCAGCUUUGGGUUGUGGUGAGGGUAGUGGGUAAAGAAGCGCCGGCUAACUACGUG
rnacentral:rRNA from 1 species